rnacentral:lncRNA from 1 species
ACUUUGCAGCUUUGUGUAAGACUUCCAGGCUGUGUUAGCUCAAGCAAGCUGGUUCUCAGAGGUUAAACUCUAGAACCUGCCUGGCCUGGGUGGCCUCGAAUGAAGCCAAGAGAGAACGUUCUUUUCCCUUUGACCAGGGUUCCUUGUAGACAAAUGGCCAUAGCUGACCCUGGCUUCUCUUUGGUUCACCUCCUAAUACUCCUCUCCUCUCUGUAGCCCGUCCAGGACCUGUUUAUACACAGGCUUACACAAACCUUCUCCACUCCCCUCUGCUUCUUCGGGUGGAGCCUCUAAGGAAAAUUCUGUUGCUAGGCCAAGGGGCAAGGUUUGGAAAGACACUAUGUGCUGCCAAGCCCAGGAAAGCAAGUUAAUGAGAAGUUUCUCCAGCUGUAAAAUGGAAUUGAAUAUGGUAUAUGACAUAUUUACCUCACCUAGAAGUACUCAAAACAAUGUCUAGGACAUGGUAAUGGCUGUGAAGUGAUCGUUGCUUCUGGAAGGACCUUGGAGGACUCAAGAAGGUAGUGAUGGGCUCACAUUUGAGGCAUGGGUUGGAGAGCUCUGAAAACUGGAGUAAAAAGAUGACAGAAAGCAGAGUCAUCAGUAGAGAGCACUGAGGUACAAUCAGAGGAGUUGGCAGAUGUGAAAUACUCCAAGAAGGAGCCAGUGUAAGUCUUGAAGGCCCAUUAGACGAAGACAGGGGAAUUAAUUAAUACCCAGGUUCUAGUUCAAAACAUGACUUUCCAUUUGUACCCUAACUACGCACACUCAUACAUACAAG